rnacentral:rRNA from 1 species
GACGAACGCUGGCGGCGUGCUUAACACAUGCGAGUCGAACGGAAAGGCCCUGCUUUUGUGGGGUGCUCGAGUGGCGAACGGGUGAGUAACACGUGAGUAACCUGCCCUUGACUUUGGGAUAACUUCAGGAAACUGGGGCUAAUACCGGAUAGGAGCUCCUGCUGCAUGGUGGGGGUUGGAAAGUUUCGGCGGUUGGGGAUGGACUCGCGCCUUAUCAGCUUGUUGGUUGGGUAGUGGCUUACCAAGGCUUUGACGGGUAGCCGGCCUGAGAGGGUGACCGGCCACAUUGGGACGGAGAUACGGCCCAGACUCCUACGGGAGGCAGCAGUGGGGAAUAUUGCACAAUGGGCGGAAGCCUGAUGCAGCAACGCCGCGUGCGGGAUGACGGCCUUCGGGUUGUAAACCGCUUUCGCCUGUGACGAAGCGUGAGUGACGGUAAUGGGUAAAGAAGCACCGGCUAACUACGUG